GCAAGUCGAACGGUAACAGAGGAGCUUGCUCCUGCUGACGAGUGGCGAAAGGGUGAGUAACCCGUGAGCAACCUGCCUCGAAGUUUGGGAUAGCCCCGGGAAACUGGGAUUAAUACCGGAUGUGGCCAUUUUUUCACCUGGAAUUAUGGCUAAAGUUUUUUCGCUUCGAGAUGGGCUCGCGUACCAUCAGCUAGUUGGUAAGGUAACGGCUUACCAAGGCUAUGACGGUUAGGUGGUCUGAGAGGACGAUC
rnacentral:rRNA from 1 species